UGCAGCAGGCGCGAAAACUUUACAAUGCUGGCAACAGCGAUAAGGGAACCUCGAGUGCCAGGUUACAAAUCUGGCUGUCGAGAUGCCUAAAAAGCAUUUCAUACCAAGGGCCGGGCAAGACCG
rnacentral:rRNA from 1 species